CGGAACGGGUGAGUAAUACAUAAGUAACCUGCCCUAGACAGGGGGAUAACGUAUUGGAAACGAUAGCUAAGACCGCAUAGGUACGGACACUGCAUGGUGACCGUAUUAAAAGUGCCUCAAAGCACNGGUAGAGGAUGGACUUAUGGCGCAUUAGCUGGUUGGCGGGGUAACGGCCCACCAAGGCGACGAUGCGUAGCCGACCUGAGAGGGUGACCGGCCACACUGGGACUGAGACACGGCCCAGACUCCUACGGGAGGCAGCAUG
rnacentral:rRNA from 1 species